AUAUAUUUAAUUGUUUACCAUUUUCGUUAUGACACCACACGGCUUCUUGCUAGAAAUCAACACCACACGUGAAAAUGACUGGUACAAACCAAAUGACUUGCCGCAAAAGGUUAGUCAAUAACGAAUAAUAUAAGUUUGUUGGGCUGGCGAAAAACAACCUCAAACCGCAGCGCAGCAUUCACAGGCUAGAGUCGGAAGGUGAAUGACAUAACUUUGCCACCCCCUAUGUCCCGACAGUGAGCUGAGACAUAUUGAGGAAGCUACUGCUGAUGAAGAUCAUUAUGUUUUAAUGGUAGUUACUGUUUACGAGGCUGAUAAGUUAGCUAUGGACAACAACAUAUACCAAAUAUUGAGAACACUAAUAGCCUCACAGGGACAACCUCAAGUAGAACAACAUAUUACAAUGACUUCCCAAGCCUUGACAGCUCAUCAGCAAAGGGUCUUCUCUGACAUUUCCAUUCCUUGUCCACCACGGAGCGCUCAGUCACUGCAGAAGCGGGCACUAUGGAGGUCCAGGCACAUCUUCUUCUUCACUCCUCAGGUGUUGGUGAAUGACCUGUCUCGAGACACCUGCCCCACGCUGCUAGUCAGAAUGUUGACCCGGAGUCAUACAAAAUUGUGUGUUUCUCUACUCCAAUGAUUAAUCCACGGAUAAAAGGGGAAACCUAGUUAGUUUUUAGUUCUCUUUGAUGAAUCUCUCCUGGGUUUGUAUGCUCGUAUUAAAGGAACCCUGCAUUAAAGGAGUGGCCUCCCUUUUGACCCUGGGACAUGACAUUU